rnacentral:rRNA from 1 species
CAUGGCGCGUGCUACCAUGCAAGUCGAACGGGGUAUGAAUAAUACCUAGUGGCGAACGGGUGAGUAACGCGUGAGCAACCUGACCUUUUGAGGGGGAUAACAACCGGAAACGGUUGCUAAUACCGCAUAAGACCACACUGUCACAUGGCAGAGGGGUCAAAGGAGCAAUCCGCAGAAGGAGGGGCUCGCGUCCCAUUAGAUAGUUGGUGAGGUAACGGCUCACCAAGUCAGCGAUGGGUAGCCGAGCUGAGAGGCUGAUCGGCCACACUGGAACUGAGACACGGUCCAGACUCCUACGGGAGGCAGCAGUGGGGAAUAUUGGGCAAUGGGGGAAACCCUGACCCAGCAACGCCGCGUGAGUGAAGAAGGCCUUCGGGUUGUAAAGCUCUGUCGCAGGGGAAGAAAAAAAUGACGGUACCCUGUGAGGAAGCCCCGGCUAACUACGUGCCAGCAGCCGCGGUAAUACGUAGGGGGCGAGCGUUGUCCGGAAUUACUGGGCGUAAAGGGUGCGUAGGCGGCAUGUUAAGUUGGAUGUGAAAUACCCGGGCUUAACCUGGGGGGUGCAUUCAAAACUGGCAGGCUAGAGUGCAGGAGAGGGAAGCGGAAUUCCUAGUGUAGCGGUGAAAUGCGUAGAUAUUAGGAGGAACACCAGUGGCGAAGGCGGCUUUCUGGACUGUAACUGACGCUGAUGCACGAAAGCGUGGGGAGCAAACAGGAUUAGAUACCCUGGUAGUCCACGCUGUAAACGAUGAAUACUAGGUGUAGGGGGUAUGAACUCCCCCUGUGCCGCAGCUAACGCAAUAAGUAUUCCGCCCUGGGG